GAUGAACGCUGGCGGCGUGCCUAAUACAUGCAAGUCGAGCGAAGCGGGGACGGGUGAGUAACACGUGGAUAACCUCCUAUAAGACUGGGAUAACUUCGGGAAACCGGAGCUACAUCCGAUACUUUUAGAUGGUUCCGCGCUGCAUUAGCUAGUUGGUAAGCUAACGUCUUACCAAGGCAACGAUGCAUAGCCGACCUGAGGGAGUGAUCGGCAACGCGGGAACUGAGUCGCGGUCCAGACUCCUACGGUAGGCAGCAGUAGGGAAUCGUCCGCGAGGGGCGAAAGCGUGACGGAGCAACGCCGCGUGAGUGACGAAGGUCUUCGGAUCGUAAAACUCUGUUAUUAGGGAAGCGGUACCUAAUCAGAAAGCAACGGCUAACUACGUGCCAGCAGCCGCGGUAAUUC
rnacentral:rRNA from 1 species